rnacentral:tRNA from 1 species
GGCAGGGUAGCUCAAUCGGCAGAGCAGCGGAAUCAUAAUCCGUGGGUUGCGAGUUCGAGUCUCGCCCCUGCCA